CAUUGAUGAGUUGGUGCUCGAUCUGAGAAACAGUGGAGAGCCGCUCUCCACAUUUAACCAUCCCCAAAUGGUGCCAGUCGUCUAAAGACAUGCCUGAACAAGUGACAGUGUUUGACAGACCUUAUAUCUCCUUUCUAUCACACCAAAAUCUCUGUAGUGAGCUCAGGCAAUGUUUUGACCUGCUGGUGUGCUGAUGCACUUCAGGAUAAAAAGAAUUGGUCCACAUUGUAGCAAUAACUUCCAGGAAGAAACGAGUGGUUGUGGAGCUGAUAAGUGGUAGCAGGACAGUGAGACCUCACAGACAAAGCCCUCCAGAAUUUCCAAGAGGCAUUUUUCAGCACGGAACGAUGCCAAAAGACAUCAUGAAGUUGUGUCUGGAGAGCAAAGCAGUAGGAUUGGACCAGAUUAUCUCUACAAUUUCUUCCAGUGCAAACACUCUGUGAAUGAAGGCACUUGCCUUCUGGGAACGGGAAUUCAGGCGGCUUUUAAAAAUAUCAUGGGGCCCAGCUAAUGUCCAGAAGUCAUCAUUAGAGAGGUGUCAUAACAGGUGACUUCUCACUGCUUGGAGAAUCCACUGCACAGAAAAAAAAGA
rnacentral:lncRNA from 1 species